rnacentral:rRNA from 1 species
AUUGAACGCUGGCGGCAGGCCUAACACAUGCAAGUCGAGCGGAUGAAGAGAGCUUGCUCUCUGAUUUAGCGGCGGACGGGUGAGUAAUGCCUAGGAAUCUGCCUGAUAGUGGGGGAUAACGUUCCGAAAGGAACGCUAAUACCGCAUACGUCCUACGGGAGAAAGCAGGGGACCUUCGGGCCUUGCGCUAUCAGAUGAGCCUAGGUCGGAUUAGCUAGUUGGUGAGGUAAUGGCUCACCAAGGCUACGAUCCGUAACUGGUCUGAGAGGAUGAGCAGUCACACUGGAACUGGGACACGGUCCAGACUCCUACGGGAGGCAGCAGUGGGGAAUAUUGGACAAUGGGCGAAAGCCUGAUCCAGCCAUGCCGCGUGUGUGAAGAAGGUCUUCGGAUUGUAAAGCACUUUAAGUUGGGAGGAAGGGCAGUAAGUUAAUACCUUGCUGUUUUGACGUUACCGACAGAAUAAGCACCGGCUAACUUCGUGCCAGCAGCCGCCGUAAUAC